GCCCCCGUCUUACCCAGCAGUGUUUGGGUGCUGCUUGCGAGUCUCUAAUACUGCCGGGUAAUGAUGGAGGC
rnacentral:pre_miRNA from 1 species